GUUGGGUGUGUUGGUGCACACCUGUGGUCCCAGCUACCCAGGAGGCUGAGGAUUGCUGGAGCCCAGUUCUGGGCCACAUUGCACUGUGCUUAAUUGCACUGUGCUUAAUCAGUUGUUCAUACUAAGUUUGGCAUCAGUAUGGUUACCUCCCAGACCGAGGGACCAGUAUGUUGCUUAAGUAGAGGUUAAUUGGCUAGGUCAGAAACAGAACAGGUCAAAACUCCCAUGCUGAUCAAUAGUGCGAUCACUCCUGUAAUAGCCACUGUGCUCCAGCCUGGGCAAUAUAGCAAGACUCU
ensembl:misc_RNA Metazoa_SRP Metazoan signal recognition particle RNA